rnacentral:tRNA from 1 species
GCGGAGGUCGCGGGUUCGAGCCCCGUCCGCUGGUUAGAAUGCCGCCCUGUCACGGCGGAGGUCGCGGGUUCGAGCCCCGUCCGCUGCGCCA